AAUUCCAACGAUAAUUUUCAUUUCGUCAUUGGUGGCUUAUUAGGGCCAGCCACCAAGGCCCAUUCUUUGCCAUCCUUAACGAUCUGAAUUGGGGUUUCCAAAAGAUCAGUAUCAUCAAUCAAUAAGGGAACUGGUUCUGCCAUGCAUUUUUGUUUCUUUGCCUUCUGCACUUUCAUGCUCUUCUUACUGCAUAUGCCCAUCUUCGAAAGAAUGGGUUUAGUUGCCUCAUAACAAAUUAACUGUUUACCAUGUUCAAGGUUUUUCAUAGAGCUAUCAGCUGGUUCUAAUGUUGUCUCCUGUUCAUAUAAGCUCUCUGUUCUUUUCUUACUGCUUGUAGGAGCUUUGCUGGAGCCACCCUCGUCUGUGGCUACUAUUUCCAUAGUCUGCACUGGAGGAAUAUUUUCUGGUAUUGUUUCCUCCACUAUAUACUCCUCUAGUUUGCCAUAAAACGCUUCCCAAUAGGGACUAUGGUCACAAUCUUCCGCUUUCAACCAGGGGCCAAAUUUGCCUAUCUUUUUCUCUGACCAUUUAGAUUGAUGAUAGGGGAUGAGUUCACAGUUAGAAGCGUAAUGGCCUAUCCUACCGCACGAAUAACAAUAAUGCGGCAAACGUUCGUAUUUGAAUUCCACCCAGAGCCAUUUGGAACCAAUAUCCAAUAUGGCCCCUGACUUUAAUGGAACUGUUAAGUCCAGGUCCACUCUGACCCGACCUCCUUUGUUUUGUCCAUUGCCCUAGGGGUCCACCUGAACUUCUAACACUUGCCCUAUUUUCUUUGCCAGGUCAUGGAAUACCUCUUCUGUUCGCCAUCCUAGAGGAAUUCCUCCAAAUCUUACCCAGAAGCAUUGCUGGAAAAGUCAUAGUAGUGUUCCAGAAUGUCAGUUACUUGUUGCGAGGGGGAGUUACCUACAAGCUUACGGGAAAAGGCUGGAGUACAAUGUGGAUCCGGAAGAGUAUAGAUGAGAGAUUGAAGGGAGCUCGUGAAAAGAAACCCAGUUGCCGCAAGUGUGGGGGUAUUGAAAAGAGUAAAGGUUAGCACCAUAAAAAGUAUCCUACAGCCAUACGUAGUUCAUCCGCCCAAACAGAGUGAGGAAAGCAUCGCAACGCCAGAGAACCAGAGAAAGAGCACCGGUUGCGACCAUAAAGUUCCCCAACUACAUAAAUCAAACAACCAGCCAAGCAUCAAGUGCAAAGCAGCAGAAAUCACACCUUGUCAGAGCCCCAAACAACAAGAUCUCCAGACGAAAGCCUUGAGCGGCCCCCAACAUCAAGGUCACCAGAUGAAGUUUAUAUUGAAGAAAAAGCACUGAAGACUGAUCUAUGGGACAGAAUCAGCGCAAAUCGGCACCAGAUCGAGGCAGGAUGGUGGAUAGAUGAUUUUUUUUUUUUUUUUUUUUUUUGGGUUUUUUCAAAACCAGGUAAGCGAAAAAAACGAAAAAGGAGGAAAACAGCGAAGAAGGAUCAAAGGUGAGUAGAGAAGGAUUGGAGUUACAGACAAAACCUUAGACGAUUAGGGUUUGUGGAAGAAGGAAAGCUACCCAAAUGGUAGAGAAGAACUCGCAGAGACGAGAGAGGGCUCCUCUUCUGGAGAGCAUUUUUUAUA